GACGUAGGGCGCGAGCGUUGUCCGGAUUUAUUGGGCGUAAAGCGCGCGCAGGUGGUUUCUUAAGUCUGAUGUGAAAGCCCACGGCUCAACCGUGGAGGGUCAUUGGAAACUGGGGAACUUGAGUGCAGAAGAGGAAAGUGGAAUUCCAAGUGUAGCGGUGAAAUGCGUAGAGAUUUGGAGGAACACCAGUGGCGAAGGCGACUUUCUGGUCUGUAACUGACACUGAGGCGCGAAAGCGUGGGGAGCGAAGAGG
rnacentral:rRNA from 1 species